ACAGCUAAGGAUAGUUUCUCACGGGCACAUGUAUGCCAAUCUAAUUAAUCUACUUAUAUAUAUAUAUAUAUAUAUAUAUAUAUAUAUAUAUAUAUAUAGUUACUAAAAUGUGUCAUCUCCUUUUAUUUUUAUUUUUUUUGGCUAUGUGCCUCUUUUUGUUAUAGGGAGAGAGCGAAAAUACAUUUUAAGGCUUUUUUUAUCAUCUUGGUGUAAUGCUUUGAAAAUUUAAUAAAAGCUCCCUUUAUAUAUAAAAUAAAAAAGAGUAAAAUCCAUUAUCGGUCCCUAAACUUGUUCGAGUAUUGUCAUCCUAGUCCCUAAACUCACAAAAUGACCAUUUAGGUAUCUAAAGUUUUUAGACUGUGUCAUCGUGCUGGUCCUUGAACUUGAAAAUCUCUCAUAUAGGUCCUCAAACUUGUUCAUUGUGUCAUUCUGGUCCCUAAACUAUUUUAAGUCUCAUCUGGAUCAAAACAGGGCGAACCUAAAAACUCCAUAUGAAAAAAGUAAUUUAUAACUUUUUCAUAUGAACUCAAAUAAAGAUAAACUUUAUAUCAAAAUUGUAGCU
rnacentral:lncRNA from 1 species